CAGCCGCCGCGGUAAUACGUAGGUGGCAAGCGUUGUCCGGAAUUAUUGGGCGUAAAGGGCUCGCAGGCGGUUUCUUAAGUCUGAUGUGAAAGCCCCCGGCUCAACCGGGGAGGGUCAUUGGAAACUGGGAAACUCGAGUGCAGAAGAGGAGAGUGGAAUUCCACGUGUAGCGGUGAAAUGCGUAGAGAUGUGGAGGAACACCAGUGGCGAAGGCGACUCUCUGGUCUGUAACUGACGCUGAGGAGCGAAAGCGUGGGGAGCGAACAGGAUUAGAUACCCCCGUAGUCCCUGUCUCUUAUAA
rnacentral:rRNA from 1 species